rnacentral:hammerhead_ribozyme from 1 species
AUCCAGCUGACGAGUCCCGAAUAGGACGAAAUGCGUGACCUGGAU